AUAAAAUAAAGAAAAGUUUUCAGAAAUUUUUUCCAAAAAUAAAACUUUAUCUUAAAAAAGAAAUACCGAAGUUUUAUUUAUUGUUGUUCAGUGUUAAAUCUAUAGAUGAUUUUGAAUAAAUUUAAUAAUAAAAUAGUUUGAUCGUGAAACAGGAGAAACCUAAUCCGGAUUUGUCCAGCACCACCGCCAAACCUGAAGGAGUUGGUGGCGCACAGAUUUGGUUACUCACAUAUUUGAAUUUGAUUCUUAAUUCCCCUUGCAAUAGUUCAACUUUUCCCUUAUUAUAUGUAAUCCAACUAGCACUUAUUAGGGUUUCCUAUUGUGUUGCAGCCAAAGCAAUGGCUACUGAAGAAGACUCCGUUGAACAAGCAGCUGUUGCACGUCGAGAGAGACUGAGGGCUCUCAAAGCUGCCAAGGAACUCUUGGAUACUCCAGAUGAUGACGCCGAAACUGCCAAAGAUGAGUCAGUAUUUCUUUGGAUUGCAAUCAUUAUUUUUCUUUUUGUGAAUUUAUUUGGCUUAAGAUCAUUAAAUAUUGAUUAUAGGUUGAUAUGCAUCAAAUAUCAGCGGAUUCUUAAAACUCUGAUUAUUUUUUAUGCUCUUUUGUUUAUUUUUCUUUUUCUUUUCCUUGUCUUCCUUUAUUUUGGUUUAAGGUUUAGUGGAGAGAUUUUGGAUACAAUUUUUGAACGCUAGGAACAUGAGGAUAUGGAUAGAAAGUGGAAGGGUAUAAAUCACUGGCGUAUAAGUUAAUUGCUUUCUUUUGUGGAAAUAUAUGGCAAGCAUAAUCUACUUGUGCUUGGAAUUAUGAUCUAUUUAUGUUUUUAAUCAUGCUUUAAUUGCUUUCCAAGGGUUGGGUGCUGUCUUUUUGACCCCCCUUCUCUUUUUCUGGUUUAAUGCUUGCUGAAGGGAUAUUUGAUGCCAUUUUGGAAGGUUAGAGAUCAUAGGGGAUAAAGAGUAGAAAUUACUGGCGUAUAAUCUUGCUUUAACUUCUUCAGUUUGUGGAAAUGUAUAUAAUGCGUAAUAUGUUUUGAUAUAAUGAUGUUUGUGUUUAUAUCCAAGAGAGAGAUAGCUAUCACUAACAUGCAGUAAUGCUUUAGUGCUUUUGUUUAUGGAAAUGCAUUCUUGGAAAUAUGUAUAAUAUUUUUGGAACUAUUAUGUUUGGUUUUUAAGCAUCGGUAUGUUAAGUAACAUAUAUAUUUGUAUUUCUUUUCCACUUUUUUCAGUAAUCUAGGCAUGAAAUUUCGAAAUUAUGUUCCUCAAGAUAAGGAGCUUCAAGAGGGUAAGCUUGCUCCACCAGUGCUACCAAAGUUUGAAGACCCUGUCGCAGCUGCACCCCCACCAUCAGAGAAGACGCAGGAUCCAUUUCUCAACAUUGCCCCAAAGAAGCCAAAUUGGGACCUGCGUAGGGAUGUGCAAAAGAAGCUUGAUAAACUUGAAAGACGCACACAAAAGGCAAUUUAUAAACUUAUGGAGGAACAAGAAAAAGAAAAGCUGCUUGGUGAAGAGGGCAUAACAGCCGAGGAAAAUUAGUGGUAAAACUUAUCUCAUCAAAGAUUUGAGGAAAGCCUUUUAAUCACCUAUCAAGGAUAGAAUUCCAAUUUGUUAGACCAGAAUUCCAAAAUUUUAAUUUUUGUUAAUGUGCAAUAAUGAACCAUGUUGUAAGUUCAAUAGGCUAUUUCUGUCUGUCUAGAUGUAAUUUUCUACAGAACUGUGACUUAAGAUUAAGAUGCCAUAAGUUUGAAAUCUAAAGCUGAAAAGCAACUUUGGGGUUUUAGCUCUUUUUUCCCCUCCUUCAAUUAUGAUUUGAUGGCUGUCAUCGGAUCAUGGUGCAUUGUGUUUGUUUACUUGUUGAAAUGGCAACAUUUUUACAGUUUUAGUUUGA
rnacentral:misc_RNA from 1 species